UGAGUAAUCUGCCCUUCUCUUCGGAAUAAGCGUGGGAAACCGCGUCUAAUGCCGAAUACGACCUCCUUUCGCAUGAUCGGAGGUGGAAAGCUCCGGCGGAGAAGGAUGAGCUCGCGGCCUAUCAGCUAGUUGGUGUGGGUAAUGGCCCACCAAGGCGACGACGGGUAGCCGGCCUGAGAGGGUGACCGGCCACACUGGGACUGAGACACGGCCCAGACUCCGUACGGGAGCAGCAGG
rnacentral:rRNA from 1 species